AACACGAGCAUCGGCGCCAGAUGCGCAUCGUUCUCGUAUUUGGGCAGCUCCAGAAAUGUCGUAGGUGUUUAGCCGAUGUGGAUGUUUUACCAUAUUUCCACGUUUUACUCUAGUAACUUGGGCGUCACGACGACUCUCUUAAGGUAGCCAAAUGCCGCACAUUCCAAUUAGUGAUACGCGACUUGCAAGGAACAUUACAUUUCGACCUGAACUCAGACGUGAGUACCC
rnacentral:rRNA from 1 species